rnacentral:rRNA from 1 species
CACGGGGGGAGCAAGCGUUGUUCGGAAUCACUGGGCGUAAAGGGCGUGUAGGCGGUCAGGUAAGUGGGAUGUGAAAUGCCCCGGCUCACCCGGGGACCGGCAUCCCAUACUGCUUGGCUUGAGUACGGGAGAGGAUGUGGGAAUUCCUGGUGCAGCGGUGAAAUGCGUAGAUAUCAGGAGGAACACCGGUGGCGAAGGCGCACAUCUGGCCCGAUACUGACGCUGAGGCGCGAAAGCUAGGGGAGCAAACAGG